CUUACCGGGUCCGGACACACUGAGGAUUGACAGACAUACCUUUGCCACUACAAUAAAAAGCAACCUCUAAGCCAUAUGCGCAAGCGGUCACUUCAAAAAGCAGCAGCACUUAAGGAAAGACGCUAGAUCUUUCAUGAUUAUGUGAUAAGUGGUGCAUGGCCGUUCUUAGUUCGUGGAGUGAUCUGUCUGCUUAAUUGCGUUUCGCAAUAUAUAAAUCUGCGCAGUGCCCUUUUUCGCUGGGUGCGGCGUAAGAUCUCGAAAGCAACGAACGAGAUCGCAACCUUUAGUUGACCUAUGUAGCGGGUCAUAAGAAACUAAACUAAAGGGACUGCUGCCAUAUGUGCUUAAACCAGAGGAAGGUUGCGGCAAUAACAGGUCUGUGAUGCCCUUAGAUGUUCCGGGCUGCACACGUGCUACAAUGAUCAUUUCAUUAAGCAUAAAGCGUAGGCAACGGUAACUUCUAUUACCCCAGCUAUACACAAGCGCAUUGAGAUGUG
rnacentral:rRNA from 1 species